AAAUUGAAGAGUUUGAUCAUGGCUCAGAUUGAACGCUGGCGGCAGGCCUAACACAUGCAAGUCGAGCGGUAGCACAGAGAGCUUGCUCUCGGGUGACGAGCGGCGGACGGGUGAGUAAUGUCUGGGAAACUGCCUGAUGGAGGGGGAUAACUACUGGAAACGGUAGCUAAUACCGCAUAAUGUCGCAAGACCAAAGUGGGGGACCUUCGGGCCUCAUGCCAUCAGAUGUGCCCAGAUGGGAUUAGCUAGUAGGUGGGGUAACGGCUCACCUAGGCGACGAUCCCUAGCUGGUCUGAGAGGAUGACCAGCCACACUGGAACUGAGACACGGUCCAGACUCCUACGGGAGGCAGCAGUGGGGAAUAUUGCACAAUGGGCGCAAGCCUGAUGCAGCCAUGCCGCGUGUGUGAAGAAGGCCUUCGGGUUGUAAAGCACUUUCAGCGGGGAGGAAGGCGGUGAGGUUAAUAACCUCAUCGAUUGACGUUACCCGCAGAAGAAGCACCGGCUAACUCCGUGCCAGCAGCCGCGGUAAUACGGAGGGUGCAAGCGUUAAUCGGAAUUACUGGGCGUAAAGCGCACGCAGGCGGUCUGUCAAGUCGGAUGUGAAAUCCCCGGGCUCAACCUGGGAACUGCAUUCGAAACUGGCAGGCUAGAGUCUUGUAGAGGGGGGUAGAAUUCCAGGUUGGUAGCGGUGAAAUGCGUAGAGAUCUGGAGGAAUACCGGUGGCGAAGGCGGCCCCCUGGACAAAGACUGACGCUCAGGUGCGAAAGCGUGGGGAGCAAACAGGAUUAGAUACCCUGGUAGUCCACGCCGUAAACGAUGUCGAUUUGGAGGUUGUGCCCUUGAGGCGUGGCUUCCGGAGCUAACGCGUUAAAUCGACCGCCUGGGGAGUACGGCCGCAAGGUUAAAACUCAAAUGAAUUGACGGGGGCCCGCACAAGCGGUGGAGCAUGUGGUUUAAUUCGAUGCAACGCGAAGAACCUUACCUGGUCUUGACAUCCACAGAACUUAGCAGAGAUGCUUUGGUGCCUUCGGGAACUGUGAGACAGGUGCUGCAUGGCUGUCGUCAGCUCGUGUUGUGAAAUGUUGGGUUAAGUCCCGCAACGAGCGCAACCCUUAUCCUUUGUUGCCAGCGGUCCGGCCGGGAACUCAAAGGAGACUGCCAGUGAUAAACUGGAGGAAGGUGGGGAUGACGUCAAGUCAUCAUGGCCCUUACGACCAGGGCUACACACGUGCUACAAUGGCAUAUACAAAGAGAAGCGACCUCGCGAGAGCAAGCGGACCUCAUAAAGUAUGUCGUAGUCCGGAUUGGAGUCUGCAACUCGACUCCAUGAAGUCGGAAUCGCUAGUAAUCGUAGAUCAGAAUGCUACGGUGAAUACGUUCCGGGCCUUGUACACACCGCCCGUCACACCAUGGGAGUGGGUUGCAAAAGAAGUAGGUAGCUUAACCUUCGGGAGGGCGCUUACCACUUUGUGAUUCAUGACUGGGGUGAAGUCGUAACAAGGUAACCGUAGGGGAACCUGCGGUUGGAUCACCUCCUUACCUUAAAGAA
rnacentral:rRNA from 1 species